rnacentral:rRNA from 1 species
GUUCAGCCGCCGCGGUAAUACGAAGGGGGCUAGCGUUGCUCGGAAUUACUGGGCGUAAAGGGAGCGUAGGCGGGUUGACAAGUUGGAGGUGAAAGCCCAGGGCUCAACCCUGGAAUUGCCUUCAAAACUGUCAGCCUUGAGUAUGGAAGAGGUAAGUGGAACUCCGAGUGUAGAGGUGAAAUUCGUAGAUAUUCGGAAGAACACCAGUGGCGAAGGCGACUUACUGGUCCAUGACUGACGCUGAGGCUCGAAAGCGUGGGGAGCAAACAGGAUUAGAAACCCGGGUAGUCC